rnacentral:tRNA from 1 species
GCCUAGGUGGCUCAGUUGGUUAAGCGUCUGACUCCAACUCAGGUCAUGACUCCCGGUUUGUGGGUUUGAGCCCCACAUUGGGCU